rnacentral:rRNA from 1 species
UACGUAGGGACCAAGCGUUGUUCGGAUUUACUGGGCGUAAAGGGCGCGUAGGCGGCCACCGCAAGUCGACUGUGAAAUCUCCGGGCUUAACCCGGAAAGGUCAGCCGAUACUGCGGGCUAGAGUGCAGAAGGGGCAACUGGAAUUCUCGGUGUAGCGGUGAAAUGCGUAGAUAUCGAGAGGAACACCUGCGGCGAAGGCGGGUUGCUGGGCUGACACUGACGCUGAUGCGCGAAAGCUAGGGGAGCGAACGGG